AUUGAACGCUGGCGGCAGGCCUAACACAUGCAAGUCGAGCGGAUGAAGGGAGCUUGCUCCUGGAUUCAGCGGCGGACGGGUGAGUAAUGCCUAGGAAUCUGCCUGGUAGUGGGGGAUAACGUCCGGAAACGGGCGCUAAUACCGCAUACGUCCUGAGGGAGAAAGUGGGGGAUCUUCGGACCUCACGCUAUCAGAUGAGCCUAGGUCGGAUUAGCUAGUUGGUGGGGUAAAGGCCUACCUAGGCGACGAUCCGUAACUGGUCUGAGGGGAUGAUCAGGCACAGUGAAAGUGAAAGACGAUCCAGGGACCUAGGGAAGGCACAGGGGGGGAAUGUUGGACACUGGGGGAAAUCCUGCACAAGCCAUGCCAGGUGUGUGAAGAAGGUCUUCGGAUGGUAAGGCGCUUUAAGUGGGGGGAAAGGGCAUUAAGUUAAAACCUGCGUGUUUUAAGGUAACCAGAAAAGAAGCACCGGCUAACUUCGUG
rnacentral:rRNA from 1 species